rnacentral:rRNA from 1 species
GUGGGGAAUAUUGGACAAUGGGCGCAAGCCUGAUCCAGCCAUGCCGCGUGUGUGAUGAAGGCCUUAGGGUUGUAAAGCACUUUUGUCCGGGAAGAUAAUGACUGUACCGGAAGAAUAAGCCCCGGCUAACUUCGUGCCAGCAGCCGCGGUAAUACGAAGGGGGCUAGCGUUGCUCGGAAUCACUGGGCGUAAAGGGCGCGUAGGCGGACUCUUAAGUCGGGGGUGAAAGCCCAGGGCUCAACCCUGGAAUUGCCUUCGAUACUGAGAGUCUUGAGUUCGGAAGAGGUUGGUGGAACUGCGAGUGUAGAGGUGAAAUUCGUAGAUAUUCGCAAGAACACCAGUGGCGAAGGCGGCCAACUGGUCCGAUACUGACGCUGAGGCGCGAAAGCGUGGGGAGCAAACAGGAUUAGAAACCCCAGUAGUCC